rnacentral:rRNA from 1 species
CAGAGCCGCGGGAAUACGAAGGGGGCUAGCGUUGUUCGGAUUUACUGGGCGUAAAGGGCGCGUAGGCGGACUGAUAAGUCAGGGGUGAAAUCCCAAGGCUCAACCUUGGAACUGCCUUUGACACUGUUUGUCUUGAGUUCGAGAGAGGUAAGUGGAACUGCGAGUGUAGAGGUGAAAUUCGUAGAUAUUCGCAAGAACACCAGUGGCGAAGGCGGCUUACUGGCUCGAAACUGACGCUGAGGCGCGAAAGCGUGGGGAGCAAACAGGAUUAGAUACCCCAGUAGUCCCUGUCUCUUAUACC